GAUGAACGCUGGCGGCGUGCCUAAUACAUGCAAGUCGAACGCUCGAGCUAUAGCUUGCUAGAUCGAAGGAGUGGCGAACGGGUGAGUAAUACAUAUGCAACCUACCCACGUAGACCGGGGUAAUCUUCGGAAAAGCGGACUAAUAACGGAAAGAUAUUCGGAACCCAUCUUUUGGAUAUUAAAGGACAAACACACUGGCGGAUGGGCUUAUGUCGCAUUUGUUUGUUGGUGAGGUAACGGUAAACCAAGACGAUGAUGCGUAGCCGAACUGAGAGGGUGAACGGCCACAUUGGGACUGAGACACGGCCCAGACUCCUACGGGAGGCAGCAGUAGGGAAUUUUCGGCAAUGGGGGCAACCCGGACCGAGCAACGUCGCGUGAGUGAAGACGGCCUUCGGGUUGUAAAGCUCUGUUGUAAGGGAAGAACGGUAGAUAGAGAAUAUCUAAGUGACGGUACCUUACCAGAAAGCCACGGCUAACUACGUG
rnacentral:rRNA from 1 species